rnacentral:misc_RNA from 1 species
UAUAUAGGGGGGUGGUGAGAGCUGGAAGCCUGGAUGCCUAGAUGCCUGGUUGCCUGGAUGCCUGGAUGCCUUGUCGUGAUGUUGCCUUUGAUUUUGAUUGUCGCUAGUCGCUGAAUGAUUUUGACCCCCCAACACUAGACGCUAAACGAGCCAGCCGUGUUUUGCGUCGUCGUCAUUGAUGCUUUCUUUGUGAUCCUAGUCGUAAUGUGUGGCCUGUUGCUCGAGAUCGUGUUUGGAGUUGCCACAUCUUCGACUCGGUGAUCUGGAUCGCAGAAAUGACUAUUGCCCCUCUCGAUGAAAUAUGUGGCCUAUCACCAGACGAUCCUAGAACGAAGCAUUACUCGUCACACUAGCUCGGCUGGUGACCUGUUUUGCCAAGGUCAUGGUGACUCGGUUUGCAAGUCGAUGCAUGUCGAAUUCGUUGGUUGUUAUUCUCUUCGCAUCGUUCGGUGCAUCCUGGGAGAUGUUCAGACCUUUGGUUGCUUUCUUGGCUUCUAUGCCUUGUGGGUGGCUAAUUGUUUGUCAUUUUUCGGGGGUGAUUACCGUAAAGGUGCAUGAGUGGUGUUUGGUUUGUUUCCGGUGGUUGGCUCUCUGCUUUUGCAACAACUUCCACCUGGCAUUCCUCUUCAGUUUAGGGUCAAGGUUGCAUUUCCUUGUGCGCUUAUGGUUUCGUGUAUUGCCUACCUACAUGACGGCAUGGGUUGAUUACAUCAAACUCGUGUUUCAUCGUUUGUCAUUUCUAUGGCGUAGGAUGAACAUCGAAGCUGCUUUCUAUGAUCCACUUUGUCGAUGCACAAGCGUUGAUGUUGUGGCUCAAUGAGUUCCGCUUGUUUUUCUGGAUACAGAACGUGAUAUGGGUGUGGGUCUUAUGCGAUCCUUGUUUUGCCCUUGUUGAACGUUGUUAUUACUCUGAGAUGACCGCCUAUCCUGAAAUGGCUCGUACCAGUGGGAUAGGUUAAGAUGUGUAAGAGCAAUAAUAACGUUCAUGCUUUUCUAAAAAGACGGCCUCACCUGCAUUGGCUUGUACCAGCGGGUAGGCUUUGUCAAAUAGGGAUGC